rnacentral:pre_miRNA from 1 species
CAAGUACUCCCUCCGUCCGGAAUUACUUGUCAUCAAAAUGGAUGUGUCUAGAACUAAAAUACAUCUAGAUACAUCCAUUUCAAUGACAAGUAUUUUCGGACGGAGGGAGUAAAAG